UACGGAGGGGGGCUAGUGUUGUUCGGAAUUACUGGGCGUAAAGGGCGCGCAGGCGGCUUGGCAAGUCGAGUGUGAAAUCCCUUGGCUUAACUAAGGAAUGGCGCUCGAAACUACCUCGCUAGAGGACGGGAGAGGGAAGUGGAACUCUCGGUGUAGGGGUGAAAUCUGUAGAUAUCGAGAGAAACACCGGUGGCGAAGGCGGCUCACUGGCCCGGUACUGACGCUGAGGCGCGAAAGCGUGGAGAGCAAACAGG
rnacentral:rRNA from 1 species